rnacentral:rRNA from 1 species
AUCGAACGCUGGCGGCAGGCCUAACACAUGCAAGCCAAGCGGAUGUAGGGCGCUUGCUCCUGGAUUCAGCGGCGGACGGGUGAGUAAUGCCUAGGAAACUGCCUGGUAGUGGGGGAUAACGUCCGGAAACGGGCGCUACUACCGCAUACGUCCUGCGGGAGAAAGUGGGUGAUCUUCGGACCUCACGCUAUCAGAUGAGCCUAGGUCGGCUUAGCUAGUUGGUGGGGUAAAGGCCUACCAAGGCGACGAUCCGUAACUGGUCUGAGAGGAUGAUCAGUCACACUGGAACUGAGACACGGCCCAGACUCCAACGGGAGGCAGCAGUGGGGAAUAUUGGACAAUGGGCCAAUGCCUGAUCCAGCCAUGCCGCGUGUGUGAAGAAGUGCUUCGGAUUGUAAAGCACGUUAAGUUGGGGCGAAGGGCAGUAAUUUAAUAUCUGACUGUUUUGACGUUACCAACAGAAUAAGCACCGUCUAACUGCGUG